GUCCAAGUUGAACAGAGGUUUAGUGUGUGCUUGUGAGUUGUUGUUUUCCUGAUUGCAAUAAUAGCACGAUGUGCGGCUUAUAGUUGACAAAAUAGGAAAAAACAAGUCUUCUAGAGAAAAUGAGAUAACAUUUCACAGGUAUUCGAAAGUUGCUGAGAACUCAACUCUGAAGGGAAGCUGGGAAGAGGGCAUAAAAAUAGUGAGUUGUGGGAUGAGGAAAUGCAUUUGCAAGACAGGAAGGAGGAUUGCGUUUAGAAGCACGCGAGGAUGGAUAAGGUGCAUAAGAAGAAGGCACAGGAGGGAGAGAGAGAGGGUAUGUAUUAAAGCAGUGUUCUCAACCUUUUUUGGCCCAUACACCCUUUCACCAUAUGUCAGAAUGUCAUUCAUUCCUUCCCCCUUUCCAAAAUGAUCUGCCUCAAAAGACGCAUUCCGAAUAAUAUGUAAGAAAAUACCAACACAAAUACACGAGCUAGCAGAGAGAAAACCCAGCGUGACCUCUCAAUAGCGCAGACCG